UUAUCUGUGUUAACUUGUGGGCGUGCGUGAGUUUCGGCCUCGCUGUUUGCAUGUUUGUGCGCUUUGGGUGUACUUUUUCGUAUGGUUGGCCAACAUCAGUUUCGAUUACUAUAAAAUGACUGGCGGAAUGUAGCUUCCAUUUCGGUUGAAGUGUUAUAGCCUCUGGUAGAUGUGGUGAUUGAGACUGAGGAUUGCAACGAAUAUCCUUUGGGCUAUCCGUCUGGCCUCUGAAAGUUGCUUGGGUGCUGAAAGCUUGCUUAUGGUUAUCUAAGUUAACGGUCAAUAGGUUAGAACGUGAUUACAUUCGUUAAGGAUGUUGACGUAAA
rnacentral:rRNA from 1 species